rnacentral:lncRNA from 1 species
GGCACCCGUUACUAAGAAAAGAUUUUUCUUCCAGGAGCUUGUAGUUCAGGAGGAAAAUAAUGGUGGCAACUGACUUGACAGUGAUUGGAUAAAUACAAGGUAUGAUAUUAGCAGACAGAGAGACACAGAACGUAAUGAGUGCUCUUGACCAAUCGAGAUUCAUACAAACAACCUUUGAACAAUAAAAGCUGACAAAGGAAACAAAUACAUUUUUCUUAUUAUUUUGAAGCAAAAGAACAUUUUUAAAAAGAAUGAUUCGGUAAACAACGUUGAGAUAGUCUAUCUUUAACUACCUCAAGGACCAAUCGGAACUUGUUAUCUUCAACCAGGAAAAAGUUUAGGAGACAGAAAAUUCUGGCAAGGAAAAAAGUGUUAGAAAAAGUCUUUCCACAAUGAUAAUGCACUUCUUUUAGCCCCAUAAAUUUCCAGCAUCUUCUUUCCCGAAGAACUAGUCAGGAAGCAGGUCUAAACUCUUGAAAUAUCUUGUCAUUGAGGAUGAAGUUUAUAUGUUUAGGAUGAGGUGAGAAGAUGGUCUCCGCUUCAGAAUACCCACAGGAGUUUCUUGGAAGUGAUUAGACAAACGAAAAGUCAAUGACGGCUUACAUCUCUAAAUACAAGAACAAGUGGUUGUUCAACAAAUAAUAACAUUUGCAGUGGCGGUGAUGAAACCAGUCUCUUUCAUGCUGCGGAAGCAGAGGUAAAAUGUAAAAAGGAUUAACAGAUGUUCAAUACAAACUACUCCCCUGAAUUUGCCUGGUUUCCUUUCCUCUGCCUGGGGGAUGAAAGAACUAAGUAAAAGCACUCACUUAAGAUUCUUAGAACAUUUUUACGAGGUAGAACGUAGAAAACAAUAGAUAACUAUCUUGGUAAAAUGAAGGCUGUUGAGGGUGUAAGAGCCGUUUGGAUUAAAAAAAAAAAACUUUAUCUCAAGUCUAUUUCAAAAAAGAAUCAGAAAGGUUUAUUUGCUCUAAAUUAUACAGAUCUCUAGCUCACCCUGCAGUGCAAAAUAUUAUCAUUUUUAUUACGAUUCGUAGCAGUAGCUAACUUUUUUUUUUUUUUUAAGAUUUUAUUAUUUCCUUUUUCUCCCCAAAGCCCCCCGGUACAUAGUCGUAUAUUCUUCGUUGUGGGUUCUUCUAGUUGUGGCAUGUGGGACGCUGCCUCAGCGUGGUCUGAUGAGCAGUGCCAUGUCCGCGCCCAGGAUUCGAACCGACGAAACACUGGGCCGCCUGCAACGGAGCGCGCGAACUUAACCACUCGGCCACAGGGCCAGCCCCAGCAG